UACGUAGGGUGCAAGCGUUGUCCGGAAUUAUUGGGCGUAAAGAGCUCGUAGGCGGUUUGUCGCGUCUGCUGUGAAAACCCGAGGCUCAACCUCGGGCCUGCAGUGGGUACGGGCAGACUAGAGCGCGGUAGGGGAGAUUGGAAUUCCUGGUGUAGCGGUGGAAUGCGCAGAUAUCAGGAGGAACACCAAUGGCGAAGGCAGAUCUCUGGGCCGUAACUGACGCUGAGGAGCGAAAGCAUGGGGAGCGAACAGG
rnacentral:rRNA from 1 species